AGAGCGAACGCUGGCGGCAGGCCUAAUACAUGCAAGUCGAACGGACCCUUCGGGGUUAGUGGCGGACGGGUGAGUAACACGUGGGAACGUGCCCUUUGGUUCGGAACAACUCAGGGAAACUUGAGCUAAUACCGAAUGUGCCCCCAUCCUUAAACAAGAUGGGUGGGAAAGAUUUAUCGCCAUUGGAGCGGCCCGCGUCUGAUUAGCUAGUUGGUGGGGUAAAGGCUCACCAAGGCGACGAUCAGUAGCUGGUCUGAGAGGAUGAUCAGCCACACUGGGACUGAGACACGGCCCAGACUCCUACGGGAGGCAGCAGUAGGGAAUCUUGCGCAAUGGGCGAAAGCCUGACGCAGCCAUGCCGCGUGAAUGAUGAAGGUCUUAGGAUUGUAAAAUUCUUUCAGCGGGACGAUAAUGACGGUACCGCAGAAGAAGCCCGGCUAACUUCGUGCCAGCAGCCGC
rnacentral:rRNA from 1 species